CAGCAGCCCGAGUGGUGGUCGUUUUUAUUGGGCCUAAAGCGUCCGUAGCCGGUCUAGUAAAUCCUUGGAUAAAUCGUACAGCUUAACUGUACGGCUCCCGGGGAGACUGCUAGACUUGGGACUGGGAGAGGUCGGAGGUACUCCAGGGGUAGGGUGAAAUCUUGUAAUCCUUGGGGGACCACCAGUGGCGAAGGCGUCCGACUAGAACGGGUCCGACGGUAAGGGACGAAGCCCUGGGGCGCGAACCGGAUUAGAUACCCGAGUAGUCC
rnacentral:rRNA from 1 species